ACGGAGGGAGCUAGCGUUGUUCGGAAUUACUGGGCGUAAAGCGCGCGUAGGCGGCUUUGUAAGUUAGAGGUGAAAGCCCGGGGCUCAACCCCGGAACUGCCUUUAAGACUGCAUCGCUUGAAUCCGGGAGAGGUGAGUGGAAUUCCGAGUGUAGAGGUGAAAUUCGUAGAUAUUCGGAAGAACACCAGUGGCGAAGGCGGCUCACUGGACCGACACUGACGCUGAGGCGCGAAAGCUAGGGGAGCAAACGGGA
rnacentral:rRNA from 1 species